UGGCGGCAGGCCUAACACAUGCAAGUCGAGCGGUAGAGAGGUGCUUGCAUCUCUUGAGAGCGGCGGACGGGUGAGUAAUGCCUAGGAAUCUGCCUAGUGGUGGGGGAUAACGUUCGGAAACGGACGCUAAUACCGCAUACGUCCUACGGGAGAAAGCGGGGGAUCUUCGGACCUCGCGCCAUUAGAUGAGCCUAGGUCGGAUUAGCUAGUUGGUGAGGUAAUGGCUCACCAAGGCGACGAUCCGUAACUGGUCUGAGAGGAUGAUCAGUCACACUGGAACUGAGACACGGUCCAGACUCCUACGGGAGGCAGCAGUGGGGAAUAUUGGACAAUGGGCGAAAGCCUGAUCCAGCCAUGCCGCGUGUGUGAAGAAGGUCUUCGGAUUGUAAAGCACUUUAAGUUGGGAGGAAGGGUAGUAACCUAAUACGUUGCUACUUUGACGUUACCGACAGAAUAAGCACCGGCUAACUUCGUG
rnacentral:rRNA from 1 species